GACGAACGCUGGCGGCGUGCUUAACACAUGCAAGUCGAACGGAAAGGCCCUGCUUUUGUGGGGUGCUCGAGUGGCGAACGGGUGAGUAACACGUGAGUAACCUGCCCUUGACUCUGGGAUAACUUCAGGAAACUGGGGCUAAUACCGGAUAGGAGCUCCUGCUGCAUGGUGGGGGUUGGAAAGUUUCGGCGGUUGGGGAUGGACUCGCGGCUUAUCAGCUUGUUGGUGGGGUAGUGGCUUACCAAGGCUUUGACGGGUAGCCGGCCUGAGAGGGUGACCGGCCACAUUGGGACUGAGAUACGGCCCAGACUCCUACGGGAGGCAGCAGUGGGGAAUAUUGCACAAUGGGCGGAAGCCUGAUGCAGCAACGCCGCGUGCGGGAUGACGGCCUUCGGGUUGUAAACCGCUUUCGCCUGUGACGAAGCGUGAGUGACGGUAAUGGGUAAAGAAGCACCGGCUAACUACGUGCCAGCAGCCGCGGUGAUACGUAGGGUGCGAGCGUUGUCCGGAUUUAUUGGGCGUAAAGGGCUCGUGGGUGGUUGAUCGCGUCGGAAGUGUAAUCUUGGGGCUUAACCCUGAGCGUGCUUUCGAUACGGGUUGACUUGAGGAAGGUAGGGGAGAAUGGAAUUCCUGGUGGAGCGGUGGAAUGCGCAGAUAUCAGGAGGAACACCAGUGGCGAAGGCGGUUCUCUGGGCCUUUCCUGACGCUGAGGAGCGAAAGCGUGGGGAGCGAACAGGCUUAGAUACCCUGGUAGUCCACGCUGUAAACGGUGGGUACUAGGUGUGGGGUCCAUUCCACGGGUUCCGUGCCGUAGCUAACGCUUUAAGUACCCCGCCUGGGGAGUACGGCCGCAAGGCUAAAACUCAAAGGAAUUGACGGGGCCCCGCACAAGCGGCGGAGCAUGCGGAUUAAUUCGAUGCAACGCGUAGAACCUUACCUGGGUUUGACAUGGAUCGGGAGUGCUCAGAGAUGGGUGUGCCUCUUUUGGGGUCGGUUCACAGGUGGUGCAUGGCUGUCGUCAGCUCGUGUCGUGAGAUGUUGGGUUAAGUCCCGCAACGAGCGCAACCCUUGUUCACUGUUGCCAGCACGUUAUGGUGGGGACUCAGUGGAGACCGCCGGGGUCAACUCGGAGGAAGGUGGGGAUGACGUCAAGUCAUCAUGCCCCUUAUGUCCAGGGCUUCACGCAUGCUACAAUGGCUGGUACAGAGAGUGGCGAGCCUGUGAGGGUGAGCGAAUCUCGGAAAGCCGGUCUCAGUUCGGAUUGGGGUCUGCAACUCGACCUCAUGAAGUCGGAGUCGCUAGUAAUCGCAGAUCAGCAACGCUGCGGUGAAUACGUUCCCGGGGCU
rnacentral:rRNA from 1 species